AAGAGAGCUUGUGUUGUGACUGAAGGAUCAAGUAACUGUAUGUGAAGCACUUACAACCAUAUCAGUGAAAUCAGCGUGGAGAAGUUCAGCUCGCCUCGUUAUCCCCCUCCUACAGCUGUCACCUAUUUGGACAAAAUGGAAGCUGGGGAUCUGCACAUUCUGGGUGUUUGGAGGAGGAAACCUGGCAAGGCACGGCCGAGCGGUGGUGCUGGGGGCUCACCUGUGCUCCAGUCUUAUCCCUGCGUGUGUCCAAGUCCUAGCCCACCGCCGCAGAAUGGCACCGUUUGGAGCAGGAGCCCUUGCAGAGUGUGGACCAUCUACAGAAGAGGGAGAUGUUAUUCUUUUGUCCUUGUUGUCUGUCCCAGUUCUAGAGUUUGCUAUCACUGGGCUGAAAGGUCAAAGGGCAUGCCUCUUCUUGGACGAGAAAAGAAUAAUGACAAGAAUUCAGGAAACCGCUAACCCCAUGUUCCAAGCCUCCCACCAGCCCUUUCUGAAUUCUCUUUGAGUUGUUUAAAAAAAGCAUGGCAUGAUACCCUCAAGUCUGAACACGAGGCUUCUGCCUGGUUUUCCUCCACUGUGUUUUGACAUUGGUGAAGAUCAACUCCCACCUCAGCGCAUCUGACUCUCUGUGGCCUGGAGUUAAAAUGGGCCGCGGAAGUGAGUGGGAGAAAAGACUUGAUGCGGUGUGACAACAGGCUGCCCUUCAGAGUGGUUGUCUGCCAUCGUGGGGGAAAAUAUAGAAUAUUGCACAGUGCUUGACAAAAUGCUGUGUCUCACCCCCUUCUGUGUAUCCUCCUUGUCCUAUGCAUAGCUUUUCAGUUCUGAGUUGGUCCUUUGUAACGAGAACUGUUUGUGCUACACACACGUCGGGCAGUGCAGUAGAGGGAAUGGCAGUAUUGUGUACGAUAUCACUACGGGAUAAAUUGAGUGCUAUCCACUGAGGAAACUACGUGUCUAAGCACACACGGCAGUCACAGUGUUACACAGAGCAGUCCUUGAAGACUCUUAUGGAAUGACUAGUAGCUUCAUAAUAGUGCCAUUUACUACAUAAUAACAUUGAAAACAUUUAAAAACUCCUCCUAAAUCAAGCAUCUAGAAUACAUAAGAGGUUGCUUCAGUUUUCUAGAACUUGUUCUUGGUUUUGUUUCACCUUUUUUUAAAGGACAAAUUAAAACUUCUUUAAGUAAAAAGAGCAUAUAAAAAAGAUCACUAGCUGUCUGUUUUGGCUUAAUCGAAGUGCAUUCAGAACUAUGGCUAAUUGUUUGCUUUUCAUCUUUUGAUGGGAUUACAAUACUGUCUGUUUACCACAAAGUAACUUUGUGUAAUAAGCACAGAUUGCUGUGUUAAAAAUAUUCUGCAUUCCUUCUAAUCUGGUUUUGUAUAA